rnacentral:rRNA from 1 species
AUACAGAGGGUGCGAGCGUUAAUCGGAAUUACUGGGCGUAAAGCGCGCGUAGGCGGCUACUUAAGUCAGAUGUGAAAUCCCCGGGCUCAACCUGGGAACUGCAUCUGAUACUGGGUAGCUAGAGUUUAGGAGAGGGAAGUAGAAUUUCAGGUGUAGCGGUGAAAUGCAUAGAGAUCUGAAGGAAUACCAGUGGCGAAGGCGGCUUCCUGGCCUAAAACUGACGCUGAGGUGCGAAAGCGUGGGUAGCAAACGGGAUUAGAUACCCCAGUAGUCC